rnacentral:lncRNA from 1 species
UUCAUCCAAAGCUCUCAUCUUCUCUUCCACUGUGAUUGCCCGCUCACAGCAGAGCUGUAAUCAGCAAAGGUGCAUGUGGACAAGUUGUCUUGCAUCUUCUCAUUAAGUCCUCAAAGAUAGUAGUCCCUCUUCUUAGAUUCAGUGUUCACGUGCUCAAGAGCAUACCGGGCUAGAUGGUCAAAUUCAUUUGUAUACUCCAGAGCACUCUUGUUCCCCUGCUGAAGUUUCAAAAAUUGCUCCAACUUCAUCCUUAUAAUGCCCUCUGGCACAAACUGGGCAUGGAAUGCCAUCUUGAAAUCAUCCUAAGUUAUUAC